rnacentral:rRNA from 1 species
UAUAAGACUGGGAUAACUUCGGGAAACCGGAGCUAAUACCGGAUAACAUUUAGAACCGCAUGGUUCUAAAGUGAAAGAUGGUUUUGCUAUCACUUAUAGAUGGACCCGCGCCGUAUUAGCUAGUUGGUAAGGUAACGGCUUACCAAGGCGACGAUACGUAGCCGACCUGAGAGGGUGAUCGGCCACACUGGAACUGAGACACGGUCCAGACUCCUACGGGAGGCAGCAGUAGGGAAUCUUCCGCAAUGGGCGAAAGCCUGACGGAGCAACGCCGCGUGAGUGAUGAAGGGUUUCGGCUCGUAAAACUCUGUUAUUAGGGAAGAACAAAUGUGUAAGUAACUGUGCACAUCUUGACGGUACCUAAUCAGAAAGCCACGGCUAACUACGUGCCAGCAGCCGCGGUAAUACGUAGGUGGCAAGCGUUAUCCGGAAUUAUUGGGCGUAAAGCGCGCGUAGGCGGUUUCUUAAGUCUGAUGUGAAAGCCCAAGGCUCAACCGUGGAGGGUCAUUGGAAACUGGGAAACUUGAGUGCAGAAGAGGAAAGUGGAAUUCCAUGUGUAGCGGUGAAAUGCGCAGAGAUAUGGAGGAACACCAGUGGCGAAGGCGACUUUCUGGUCUGUAACUGACGCUGAUGUGCGAAAGCGUGGGGGUCAAACAGGAUUAGAUACCCUGGUAGUCCACGCCGUAAACGAUGAGUGCUAAGUGUUAGGGGGUUUCCGCCCCUUAGUGCUGCAGCUAACGCAUUAAGCACUCCGCCUGGGGAGUACGACCGCAAGGUUGAAACUCAGAG